AUCUUAUUUUGAUUAUUGCAGGCUUGAAACGCUUCUCAUUCCUCUCUCAACUUUCUAUGCGAUUGGAGCUUCCAUGAUAAAGAUAACCUUUCCUUUGUAUCUUACUCUGUAAAUCAAAAACCCUAAGUAUAAGUCGUUGGUGGUGAAGCAGGUCUGAUUAGAAAUUGAAGGAUCGAGACAUGCUUCUUGCUUCAUCGCAACAAAAUCAAUUUUACCCUAAAUCUACUUCAUUAACGCAUUCACAGUCUCUUUAAUGUUGUCGUCAACAUCUCCUUGGUGUUUUGGUUGCUGAUUAUUAAUCUGUUUUGAGGCGGAAAUCAGGUUCGAAAACCAGCAGUAACAACAUAUAUCUCGGAAUUGAUCUUUUAUUUAGUUUGUAAAAUGCUAUGGCUUUUUUAUGUAUACUUAAUAGGUUGAAAUCUCCAAUCUGAUUGUGUUUUCUGUAGGUAUAAACACACAUUAACUGCGUA